GGAUGCGAUCAUACCAGCACUAAUGCACUGGAUCCCAUCAGAACUCCGAAGUUAAGCGUGCUUGGCGAGAGUAGUACUAGGAUGGGUGACCUCCUGGGAAGUCCUCGUGUUGCAUUCC
rnacentral:rRNA from 2 species